ensembl:lncRNA
CAGCUAGCAGGUCACUACCAGGCUCCACCAUCAGCCAGCAGGCCACAGCCAGGCUCCACCAUCAGCUAGCAGGCCCAGCCAGCAGGUCACUACCAGGCUCCACCAUCAGCCAGCAGGCCACAGCUAGCAGGUCACUACUAGGCUCCACCAUCAGCCAGCAGGCCACAGCCGGGCUACACCAUCAGCCAGCAGGCCACAGCCGGGCUACACCAUCAGCCAGCAGGCCACAGCCUGGCUCCACCAUCAGCUAGCAGGCCCAGCCAGCAGGCCACAGCCAGGCUCCAUCAGCAGCCACCAGGCCACAACCAGGCUCCAUCAAGAGCUAGUGAAGCUACAGGAAAAGGCAGGCCCGGAGUUAGCAAGCCUCAGGAUUGAUUGAGGCUGCAGUAAAAAAGAGGCACAAAUAUUUAGAAGAUGCCGCCUAAAAGAAGUAAUAUCAAUGAGGAGGAACUGGAGGACAUAAAGAAAUCUUUGAACUUUAUGUCAGAAGAAAUUACAACCAUUGCAAAACAACAAAAACUGAUAAUCAACUUAAUUGAGGAUAUUAAAGAAUUAAAAAGGCAAAGUGAGGAAAAGGACAAGAAGAUUGCUUUGUUGGAAGUACGAGUGGCAGAAUUGGAACAAUAUUCGAGAAUAUCAGAUGUAAUAGUAACGGGUCUGGAAACCAAGCACCAGACAUAUGCACGAGCAGCAGCAGAAGAGAGAGGGGAGCCGCCUGAGCAAGAGUUGCGCUCCCUGGAAGAACAGGUAAUGGCCUUUUUCAGUAGUAAAGGCAUUGAAAUGGAUAGUAAGGACAUUGAGGGGUGCCAUACUCUUCCAAGGAAAAACAAGAAUCAAAAACCUGCCAUUAUUAUAAGAUUUGUUAAUAGGAAGCAGAAAAAAGAGCUACUGAAGCAAGGAAGAAAGUUGAAAGGAACGAAUGUGUAUGUUAAUGAACACCUAAUCAAGAAAA